GAUCCUGGCUCAGGACGAACGCUGGCGGCGCGCCUAACACAUGCAAGUCGAACGGUGAAGAGGAGCUUGCUCCUCGGAUCAGUGGCGGACGGGUGAGUAACACGUGAGCAACCUGGCUCUAAGAGGGGGACAACAGUUGGAAACGACUGCUAAUACCGCAUGAUGUAUCGGGAUGGCAUCUUCCUGAUACCAAAGAUUUUACCGCUUAGAGAUGGGCUCGCGUCUGAUUAG
rnacentral:rRNA from 1 species